UACAGAGGUGGCAAGCGUUGUUCGGAAUUACUGGGCGUAAAGGGCGCGUAGGCGGUCUUGCAAGUCCUGUGUGAAAUCCCUCGGCUCAACUGAGGAACUGCACAGGAAACUGCUUGGCUUGAGUUCGGGAGAGGGAAGCGGAAUUCCGGGUGUAGCGGUGGAAAUGCGUAGAUAUCUGGAGGAACACCGGUGGCGAAGGCGGCAUUCUGGACCGAUAUUGACGCUGAGGAGCGAAAGCCAGGGGAGCAAACGGG
rnacentral:rRNA from 1 species